rnacentral:rRNA from 1 species
UACAGAGACUGCAAGCGUUGUUCGGAAUUACUGGGCGUAAAGGGCUCGUAGGCGGCCAACUAAGUCAGACGUGAAAUCCCUCGGCUUAACCGGGGAACUGCAUCUGAUACUGGAUGGCUUGAGUUCGGGAGAGGGAUGCGGAAUUCCAGGUGUAGCGGUGAAAUGCGUAGAUAUCUGGAGGAACACCGGUGGCGAAGGCGGCAUCCUGGACCGACACUGACGCUGAGGAGCGAAAGCCAGGGGAGCAAACGGG